AGAUAGCUCUUGCACAAGUGACUACAUAUUUCCAUAGCGCUGGGAACUGUGGACUUAACAAAAUAGAAAUUUAUGAUGGGUCAACUUUAAAUAAAGAUAAACGAAAACAAAACUGUGGUCCUGGUCCAUUCGAGCCAUUUGAAUCGAAAACAAAUAAAGUAUUUGUUCGAAUCUUUGGCAGCAGUCUAAAUUACAAACCAACGAUAAAUCUUCUAUUUACAAAGUUUUAUAAAAGUAAGUAUAUUUUAGUAUUUAGUAUUUGUGAAGGAAUGAAAUAAUAGUAGCCGGUUCAAGUUUCUUGUUGGUUUAAGAACAGUAGUUAUGUUUAUUUUUAUGAAGAAAAAAAUCUUUGCAAAUAAAAUAUUUGAAAUUUAUUUUCUGUCUUUAAUAUAAUCGUGAGGUUUACAAUGUUGUUUGUCAGAUACUUUAUAUUAAGUACAACAUUGUAAACAAGGUUUUACUAUCCACGUCAUCUGGUCGAUGAUGCAUAGUUGUCUCUUUGAUAAUCCUUCCACAUAAAUUUAUUUUUUUGUCACUAAUUUGCAUGAUAUCUUUUAUCUGCACUAGAUGAUGCGUCUAGAAUUUGCAUAAUAUCUUUUAUCUGCACUAUGUGUAGUUGCUAGAAUAACUCUGGUGUGAUGAUGAAAUGCGUCAUGACAUACAUUGUAUAAUUUUUUUCUUCUUGUAAUAUUUGUCAGGUAAUUAAACAAGUUUUGUCGGUAUUUUUCAUCUUUACGUAAUUCAAUUUUUCAGACGAAACUUGCAAUUCCAAACAUUUUUCUUGCAAUGGAAGAUGCAUCAGCAACACUCUUGCUUGCAAUGGAAAGAUUAACUGUCCAAGUGGAUUAGACGAAGAAAACUGCGAUCUGGAUGAUAGUGAGACUGUUGGUAAGCACUAUAUAUCUCUCACAGAUUUCUGAGUUCUUUGCUUUUAGUUAUCUGUUUAGCAUAUUCUCUUGGAACAUCUUUUUGAAUUGCAAUGGUAUUCGGUACUGAGAAAUGCGUCUGCUCAAAAAUUAAAAUUACGCUUUAUAAAUUGUGUUCAUCUGAAGUGCUUUUCUAUAUCAACCUUCAUCACGAACGCUCAAAGCCAAAAAUAUGAAAGCGAUGGAUUCAUAACUACAAAAGCUAUAUCUUAUGUGAUGAAAGGAGUGUCGUUACGUAGCUUAGUCAUAUAUUUCAUGUUUAUACAUAUUUCAUAUUUUCAUGCUGCUAUACACUUCCACAGUACUUGUGUCAAAUUUCCAUUCGUUUGAUGUGUUUGAGCUUUUGAUUUUGCUAAUUUUCGUAUGGACUUUCAGUUUAGAGAAUUUUGCUCUGAGUUCAGAAUUUUCGUUAUUUUACUUUUUCUGUAGGCACACAUAUAAUGUAUAGUAUGUCUUACAAAAUCUUGUAUCGAUGACUAAAGAUAAACACAAGAUAUGAUUCGGUCAUUUAUUAAUUUUUUUUUUUUUUCGACCAAUAAAUUAAAGUCAGUGAAUUUUAUUUUCAACGUUACUGAACAUUUAUAAGUGGAAUCAUAGAUAAAACAAACUUAAGAAGAUAAAAAAUGAUAAUUGGAAAUAAAGUUUUAUUGAAAUGAUGUACAUUUUAUUUUCUUAUACUGAACACCAAUAUUGGGCUAAGACUAGUUAAGCAUUGUGCGACAACAGUGAAUCGAAGAAAAUCGACGAAAGCUUAUUUUUAUUUUUUAAAACAUAACUCUUUGUAAAAUAAAUGUCGUCAUGAUGAGGUUUUUUUUAGGAUAUACGUGUAAAUAAGGAAUCUAAUAAAUCAUUAUGAUAGGAUCGAUUUGUGUUUUUACUUUGGCACCUUUGCCUCUUCUGUCUCAGACAGAAAUUCAACAAGAGUCGAUGAUAAUAUCUAGACAUGAUUUUUUUCAAAGGGGAUUCGUUGUUAAAAUUCUGCAUUAAUAUAUAAUUGUUUAUUAAUGAAAACGUUUAAUUGUGAUAGGGACAUUUUCUGUUUACUAAAGUUGUACUUGACUGACAUACUUCCUACCAACUAUGUGAAUUGUUUCAAUUUGUAAAAAUGAUUCUUAAUAUUAUUACUAUUUGCAAACAAAUAGUGGACAGUUUUAUAGAAUACAAUGAAUCUCUCCUUUCUGAUGUUAUAGCAUCGUUUCCUGUUAAUGUAUUGUUAAUAUCUUCCACAUUUUCUGAUUUUCUUUUAUUCUGUAAUUUAUAACAUAAAAUAUAAGUUCUGCAUCUAGUUUGAUAAACAGAUUAAAAACGUUUUGUAAUAUAUUACAAACAGUAGGUUAUUCGUAGGAGGCAAGAAAAUAAAACGGUUUCCGUACACAACAGAUGUACAAUCGUGAUGAUUAAUUAGACUAAAUAUUUAUCUAUCUUAAUCUACCAUUCAUUUCAUACAGUAGUUAUUCUGAUUUAAACUGACACCUCUGCAGUCAUACACUUUGUUCAUGUGGAAAGCCAGAUGGCUUAGCCCGGAAGAUUUCAAUUAUAAAGAUAAUACAUGGAAAUUAAUAUUUUCUUCAUGUCCAUGCAAAUUAUCCCCACCUUUCAUCAUAACAGAUGCUGCAAUCAACUAUGAUAGGUGUAUUUAUUGUUUUAAAGGUACCUGUAAUCGCAGCAAAGUUAAGCAAAGUUCUACAUGUUAUUAACGUCUUUUCAAAUUAAGAAACUGGAGUCGUUGUAUCAACAUUUCGUUUGUAUUUUAAUAGAGGACAAAAUCUAAUUUACCAUGGAGAUUAUCUCCAAAAAAUGCUUAUGUAUGACCUCUGCUGUUAGGUAUGACCUGGUGUAAACAUAAAUAUAAACAGAAUACAAAGGCAAGCACAUGCACAAUCGUAUAAUUACGAUUUUCCAAGGCCUGUUUGAUUUCAAGUCAUUAUAAAGUACAUCUCCGCUUUACUUAUUUGUAUUUUUUGUGGGCAGAUUCAGUCAGCGAAGAGAGCUCCGCGGCUGCUGCCUUGUAUAAAUACACAGGCUUAGACCGCGCAAAAAUAUACUUGAAUUUUUUAAAAUAUAUUUACUUUGCUAUAUUUCAAACGUUCUUGAAACAUAAGCGACACCAUUAUUCUCAAUAAUGCUGCGAACAAUUGCCAAGAUAAAUUACGUUAAAUCGUUGUAAAUCAGUCAGGGUCUGGAACUUCAAAAUCAGUUAGGACCAUUAUCAAUUCUACUUCAUUCUAUUCGAGAAAUAAUCUGUUAUGUUUGGUAUUCUAGUCACAUUUUCAGAAUAACUUUACAGAACUUAAGAAUAGCAAUCUUCACCAAUUGUUUAUAAUUCCUGUCGUUUACUAAUCCAUCUGUAUAUUCAUGCUCUGUAAUUAAGAAAUUAAUUGUAUUUUCAAUGCUCUGCCAAUCUUUUUUUUUGUAAACUGUUCUUUCAUCUUAUUUACUUUCUAUCGAAAAAAACUCGUUGGAUAAAAUUGCUAAGGUCGCUUUUUCUAUCAUACACUACGGUAUCGCUUGUCAUUUUUAUGCAUCUGGAGUUUGUCUUUCAAGCAGAGAUAAUUGAAAAAUGAAGUCAAGAAAAACAUAUAGAAUCAUCGUUGAAAAAUAUAAGUGCAUAGUCUUUGAUUCAUGGCCCUUUUGGUGCAUCUGGUUUUCAAAAAAAAAUACACCGAUAUACUCAUAGUCUGUCAAUGAAUAUCUCAGAGAUAUUAAACGUUAAUCAAUAGUGCAACUUUCUUAUUUCUUGUUGUUGCUUUAAAAAAAAAGAAGUCUAUUAUUUUUUUUUCUUUUUCAAAAUUGUUUUUAUUGUACCUGCUAUAUAGAUGGAUUGUAAACUUAACCAUACUUUCGAGUGAAAAAAAAAAUGUUUAUAUACAUGGCAAUUAAAAGUCAGUUGCUGAAUGUCUUGUUGGCAAUCAUACCACCUUCCUUACUUUUGUAAAGCAAUUUUAAGUAAAUAUUUCAAGAGUCCAUUUUCCUUAGUUCUGUUGACUUUAAAAAAACCUUGCUUGUGACAUAGGUUCAGGAGAUACGUCAUUUUAACUACAUCUGUAAAAUAUACUUUUUUUAUAUGUAAGAAAGAUAAAAGUAAAGUAAAUUUACAAUAUCGUUAGUUACUUUUCUUUGUUUUUAUUUAUAGGUUUAGGCUUUGAAUCGCUACCAUUACAUGCCAUCAUUAUUGGAGCUGUAGGUGGUGUGCUAGGAACCAUAAUUGUUAUCGGGGUAUGUCUAAUUUGCCGUUACAGAAGCCGAAAGCGACAGAAACAAAGGCAGGAACAACGUGAUAAAUUAAAGGAAAAUUUUGAAAUGUCCAACAUAAGUGCUAACACAACUUUACUAACGAAAAAGAAUGCCGGACAACCUAACUAUUUUUCACUACCACGUCAGCAUCGAAGUGGAGGCCAAAGAGACUAUAUACGUAGGGACAGUGGUACCAAUUCAAGUGUUCCUUCAGAGGGCGAUGUUCCAGAUCACAAUUCUGACCCAGGGAAUUAUAAAAAAUAUUUAGUCAUGGAUCAAUAUUUGGACGAAGAACCUUGUCCGUCAGUUUAUAGUCAAGGUCCAGUUUUAACGACUAUAAUUGAACGGCAUGAUGUGCCAAUGCAACAACAGGAAAUCGAUGGGUCAUACGGUUGGACCGGAUAUGGAUGGAAACCACCUCAGUCUGAUAAUAAAUCGCCAAUGAGUCUGACAGAGAACAUUGCUAAAUUAGCACAAUAUAACAUUCCACAAAAAACUUUAAAUCCAGACUAUAAAAUGUAUACAUCGGAUCCGAAAUAUGAAAUGUAUCCAGAAGUACGAUUCAAUAUAGGAAAGGAUUAUUCCAAAUUAAAAUAUCCGCAUCCUCAACAUCAACCAGAAAUCCCUACACCUACGAAGGAACAUCAGAAAAGUUUUAAAAUGUCCAGCCCUCAUCCUGACAUUACUCGAGAUUUAGAAGUUACGUAAAACUAUAUGAAAGGUUAAUGAAAAGACUUUGGAGAACAUAUUGAUAUUGCUUCGUCAAAGUAAUGACUUGUUAUAACAAGUAUACGAAGAACAGAACGUUAUUAGGAACAAAGCAAUCCUUAGACUCUUUACUCGAUCAACCAAAACAAUUGUAAACAUUUGGUUACAAUAAAAAGAUAGCGAGUUUUAAGUGCACCUAUCAGAUAUCCAAAAUAUUGUUUCCAUGAAAGAAGGCUGAGAGAAUUGUGACUAACUACUAGUUUUCAUUGCGCAUUGUAUUAUAGCAUUAUGUUUUAAUAGCAUUAUACUGAUGAAGAAAAGGACACUAAGCAAAUCAAAUGUGACUGAUUGUGAAUACAUUCACCCAUAUGUAACCAAAUUUUGAAUUUUCAUUACAACCACCACCAAAACGAAAAUAUUUUUAGAUGAUACUUUUAGCUACUCCAAAAUACACCAAAAUGGCGUUUUAAUUCUUGCAAUAAGUUCGUGGUUUUGUCUUGUGUUUUUGGUAUUUCAUGGCUAUUACCACGACUCAUUGUGCACUGUAGACGUCCGUAUAUAUCCGUCUGUUGAUUUAUUUAUCACAACACUUUGUUUAUAUCAAAGUUCUAUUUAUAGGUUUCAAAGUAUAAACAAUAUAUCAGAACUAUUUUAACAGAUAAUCAGUAACUAAAUAUAAGUAGAUAAGUAUCAUAUAAGUAUACGUUAAAUUUCAUCUUAAAGACUGUAAUAAUAUCUAAACUGAUAGACAUAUAUAUAUUGUGUCGAGAACAUGAUAGUACCAACCCAAAAAAGUAUGACCUUGCAUAAAAUCUAAUUACUAAAGUGGGAAGGAAUUAUUAUUCCUAUCUCUUGAAAUCAUGCAUAUACUAAACACUAAAAUGUCUCGCCAGUAAUAUUUCAAUUAUUUCAAAUAGCAAUACACUUCAGAGGAGGAUUUAGAGGGGCAGAGGGCCCGCACCCCCUCCUUUUUGGGGAAAAAAAUUCGGUUGCUUAUAUAGGGAAUCACUGAAGCGUGACUGGAGCGGCCCCCUCUUAGGCAGUUAGUGGGUCCCCACUUAUUAAAAUUUCUGGAUCCGCCAGUGCACUUUGAAACUUAUAGUAAUGUCACAAGAAAUAGUGUUAUUUCAAGUGUACGUUAAUUUAUUAAUAAGUUAAAAGAAACAACAGUUGCGUACAUUUGAAAAACUUGUUGACCUGAUAAAAAAAAAUCGUUGCAGGCGAGACAAAAUUUAAACGAAUCUUCACAAUCUUCAAAAUAAAUCACCACAUAUGAUAAUUCUUUUUAAUAGUUUGAGCAUAGUAUUUUCGAAUGUCUUAUAAUUCUUUGCCAUCUGGAGAAUUGUA
rnacentral:lncRNA from 1 species